AAGAUUGUUCACUCAGCACCAAAAACAUUUGACUGUUCUGAAUGUGGUCGACGAUUUGGAGGGAAGAGCAACCUGAAAAAACAUAUGAUAAUUCAUUCAGGAUUAAAACCAUUUUUCUGUUCUGAGUGUGGUCAACAAUUUGGACUAAAGAGCUACCUGAAAACACACAUGAUAAUUCAUACAGGACAAAAAGCAUUUGUCUGUUCUCAGUGUGGCCAAAGAUUUGGACAAAAGAGCCACCUGAACACACACAUGAUAAUUCAUACAGGACAAAAAGCAUUUGUCUGUUUUGUGUGUGGUCAAAGAUUUGGACUAAAGAGCACUCUGAAUAGACAUAUGAUAAUUCACACAGGGCAAAAACCGUUUGUCUGUGCUGAGUGUGGUCGAAGAUUUGGACGAAAGAGCCACCUGAACACACACAUGAGAAUUCAUUCAGGACACACCACCCCAACAAAUUAGGAGUCAUUCACUACCUCAACAACAAAACAAUAUACAGAAGCACCCAGACCCAGAGCAGUGGGAAUUAGAAGAGGAUUUGGCAAACAAGAUUGAGGAAACAAGGAGAAUGGACAUGAAAGAGCGUCCAAAACUGAUCAAAUUCAAGGAGGAUGAAAAGCUUAAAAGUACGCUACAGAUAGUUAACCUGGGAUUGGCUAGACUGGUCCCAGAAGGCACCACAUUGACAGAAUUAAACUGUAUGAUUUAUGUAGCAACAUUGUCCAGACAAAGUAAAUUAGUCCUACAUUAUUUGGAGAACCAGAA